AUUCUGGUCAUCUUGGUCCAGCAACAUGAUCCCAGUUUAUCCCUCUUGCCAAAAGGAUAGACAGUUGUGGGGAUGCCCUACAUAAAGACCCUCUGGCUUCCAUUUGAGAAAAGAGUUUAGCCAAUGCAGAAUAUAAACCUUUCAACACAGUUCAAAUCUAUAUAUACAUAUAAAUUAAUGUGAGCAAUAAAAUAAUGAAAUUUAUAUCAACUUGAAGCUACAACUGUACCUUAAAAAAGACAACUUUGGAGAUUGAAAUAAAGAUGUGCUAUUUGAAGGUAAAAGCAAUAGACUUUCACUCUCCAUUCCCAUUUCUGACUAUCACACAUCAGUUUGCAUUUUCCUUCUCUUUCUGGAGCUGUAACAUCACCAGUACAGUUUUAAGUCAUAAUCUUCAAAAACCCAGCACUCACUCUGCUGCUGAGGACACUUGUUUCAGCUGGGAAUAUCAUGUUGUGCUCAUUUUAUGAAAUGAUUAACAUAAACAAAAUUGUUUUAAAAAUCUAUCAUUCUCCAGAUGUACUGUUUUACUGAGAAACCAACACAAGAAAACAUGGCUCUACUUUGCUGCCCAAUUUUAAGGUCGCCUUGGGAAGUGAGAGUUGGGAGGCUUUUUGUCUUUCCAGGGGCAAGAAGUAGAGACUAAUUUUUAAGAUAAAGGUCGUUGGUACCACGGUCGAGCCAUUUUCCCCUCUGAGCACUUAACUCCAGAGCCGAUCCUAGGAAAAGCCAACGUAGUGGGCCAAAUGGAGUUAAUUCUUGUAAAAUAAGGUAGGACAAACUGAUCCCUCAAAUACGAAGAUGUGAUGAGAAAGAAUCCUGUUCCUCUAAGAGUGUUGCUCCAUCCCCACAAAUUAAAGGAUUGUAGAAUAAAUAUCACCCAAAUCUGCCAUUAGCUCCAUAGUUUGACAGGGGGAAGAUAGACUCAAUUAAAUUACAAUGAUUAAAAGUGCAACUUAUUGAACUUUUCAGGUUUAAUUCAACAAAUAUUUAUUUGGCCAUCUACUUCCUGCUCAGCGCGAGACCAGGAGCAUUAAAAUGGUUACUGUGGGAGCCACACAGCAACGCCUCUGUCGUCUCUACCGCGGGGACUUGGUUUAGCAGAUCUAUGUUUCUCCCUAGGCAGCAUCCCAUUCCUCGACUUCCUUUUUCUCUUCCCUCUCCUGGAGCUCUCAGAACUAAAAGAGAGAGCCUUCCAUUUCUCAGUCCUGGCUCAGAAUCAGCUCAGAUGGAACCGCAAACACAAGCUCCAUUUUAAGAGGUUCAAACCUCACCGUUCCAAAGAUCCAGUUUACAUUUGAAGAAACUAAAGUUCCAUCCCUUCGACAGACAAGCCAGGGCAGUGGGUUUUAAGCUAAUCCCAUACUCAGCCUGCCCUGGAACUACCAGAGCCAGCCUGGCGACUUGGAGAUCAGGAGCAAAACUGGAAAUGAUCACGUGGCUAUGCACCCCUCACCUUGCGCCGUUUCCGCCUAGAUCAGGAGGUGGGGCAGGGGAGGGAGGGAGUCGGAGGAGGAAUAGAUUCCGGGAGAGAGAAGGAUGAAAGUGAGGGAGGCAUCAAAAUAGUUACAGUUUUUUGAGUCCAAAAGGGAAGAUGGCACUGAGGAGGAACAUGAAAAGAAACUUUCAGAUUCGCCCAGGUAAUGACACGCUCAGGAUGGUGCGGAAACGCAGCUCUCAGACCUUGCCUGCGAACCAGUUCAUUAAAACAAAUUGCUUCUCCACAGCCCCAGACAGAUUCCAUCAUGAACUUUGGCAGAAGAAGGGCGGGCUGCUCUUGACCUUAGAUACCCACCCGUUGACGUCGGCCAGACCACGGACAGCUCCCGCCCCACAGCUCUUCUGCCCUCCAAGCGCUGGGCAGUCUCCAGUUCCAACCGGCAGGACGAGGAGGUGGCUGCUCAGAUCAGCCUCCUCUUGCUCUGCUCCCUCCCCAGUCACCCCUCGGGUGUCUUCUGGCAGCCUGGAGUCCGGCCUUGAGCUAGGUGUCCCACGAGGUGUCAGAGACUGAGAACCAAGAAAGGGGCGCCCAAUGAAGACCUAGGUCUGCAGCCGCUGGGAGCUCAGCUUCAGCGCCCAAGAGGCAGCACCAGGGAGAUGACAGCGGGGAGAAGGCGGCCGCGGCCCCCAAGAGACGACAGGGCGGAUGUGGCUUUACUUUUCUCCCUGAGGGAGGCUGGCUUGUUAAAGACAGCCCAAGUUGUCAGUUUCCUGGUUUCCAAGGAAAGUGCAAGAUCUUGAUAACUGCUUCUAAUUGGUAACCAAAUACGGUCCCCUCUCACCGUGUAAGAGAAAUGCCCUUGUUUGUCUGAAUUUCAUUCCAGAACUUACUAUUUACACUCUCCAAACUUCCAAAAGAGGAUACCAGGCAGCCUUUUCCUCUGCACUGAAAAU
rnacentral:lncRNA from 1 species